GUCCCGGGGCUCGGGGCGAUGGCCCCCUCGGGAAGAUGGCCCACCCAGCCCCAGCCACCGGCACCCAGCGGUUUUCAGCCCCGGCAGCCUCGCCCGGUGCCGGGCUGGGGCCGGGGCCGGGCUGAGGGCGCCCCCUGCCGCGCAUUGCCACGGCUCCGUGGCGUGAGGGCCGUCUCUGGUGGCAGCGCCGCCUCGGAGAUAAAAGCCGUCGUAAUGGGAAAAAAUACGCAAAACAAAACGCUCUUUUCCAGGCUGGUAUGUUCGUAACGCAUUUUGAAAGGCAUAGUUUGAUUUCUGAGGACUUUUCCUCAGACCCCAUCCUCCCUUCUUUCAAGCACCACGGCCAAGAGGAAGGCGCUGGCGGCUGGAGGAGGAGGCAGCAUGGCAUUUGUCCUCCGUGACACCUUUGCAGCUCUACUUCAGAGGAUGACCAGAAGCAGACUUCAUGACCAUGCUUCUAACAAUCUGGAGGCAGUUUACCACUGCACACAGUCCCCAACCUCAACAGAUACCAUCUAAAAUGUUAAUUACAACUGAUUGAAUAAUAAUAAUAACAAAUAAAAAAAACACCGCCUGAUUUAUUUUGGGGUGAGGCUAAAGAACAAGUAACAACUGACAGCAACAAGUUUCUCUGAAAAAAUUAGGGAUAUGCAAGUCUCCUCGCUUGAUUACUUGCUCUGCACGUUGAUCCUCCAAAUCCAGCCCCCGAGAGCAGCACUGCAGGGAAUGCUCCACAGACAGAAGCUUUUAGUUUCCUGCCCACUGCCAGCAGAAUCUCGCACAGGGUUUAUUCCUGGCAGUGAAACUUUUGGCUGACUGACCUUAGCUCACUUCCCCAGGGCCCAUUUUCCAAUACAUUCUGUGCACAAUUACACACAUUUUCUUUGGUGCUACAGCGAUGUGAGAAAUCAACUUACUCAUCUUUUUGAAGGCUGCAAUCACAAGUGCAGUGGUGUUUUAACCUCAAUUUUACGUACUGUACAUAAAAGACUUUGAAACUGUUAUAUCCCUACCAGGCCCUUAGAAAAGUACCCUAAGACCACGGAAAAAAUAUCAGGAAGCAGCACUGACCUGA